rnacentral:rRNA from 1 species
UAAUACGUAGGGGGCAAGCGUUGUCCGGAAUUAUUGGGCGUAAAGCGCGCGCAGGCGGUUAAUUAAGUUGGGUGUUUAAGCCCGGGGCUCAACCCCGGUUCGCAUCCAAAACUGGUUGACUUGAGUGUAGGAGAGGAAAGUGGAAUUCCACGUGUAGCGGUGAAAUGCGUAGAGAUGUGGAGGAACACCAGUGGCGAAGGCGACUUUCUGGCCUAUAACUGACGCUGAGGCGCGAAAGCGUGGGGAGCAAACAGGAUUAGAUACCCUGGUAGUCCACGCCGUAAACGAUGCAUACUAGGUGUUGGGGAUUCGAUUCCUCGGUGCCGAAGUUAACACAGUAAGUAUGCCGCCUGGGGAGUACGCUCGCAAGAGUG